GCAUCUAUGGAGUAGAAGUUAACUCGCCCCCCUCCCAUUAAUAAAGGUAUGGGGGAAACCCGGGUGCAAGUCCCGGUGGGUGCA